rnacentral:rRNA from 1 species
GGAGUCUGGUCCGUGUCUCAGUACCAGUGUGGGGGAUUAGCCUCUCAGCUCCCCUAGACAUCGUGGGCUUGGUGGGCCGUUGCCCCGCCAACUACCUAAUGUCACGCAUGCCCAUCCUGUACCACCGAAGCUUUAGCCACCCGGCCAUGCGACCAAGUGGCACUAUGGGAUAUUAGUGGAGUUUUCACCCCGUUAUCCCCCUGUACAGGGCAGGUUGCAUACGCGUUACGCACCCGUGCGCCGGUCGCCAUCAAAGUCAGCAAGCUGACUCCAUGAUGCCCCUCGACUUGCAUGUGUUAAGCCUGUAGCUAGCGUUCAUC